AUUUUCGGAUAAUCGCACUAUUUUAAUAUGGUGAGGAAAGUCCAUGCUCGCACAAGCUGAGAUGCUUGUAGUGUUUGUGCUAGGUGAAAUAAUAAGCCUAGGGACGGAAGUUACGGCUGAGAAAUUCACUAAGUAUAGUUAUAUAUAUGUGAAAAGUAUCUGUAAAAGUGCCAAAGAGACGAGUUUAACUAGAAAUGGUUAAGAUGGAACGUGGUAAACCCCUCAAGCGAGCAACCCAAACUUUGGUAGGGGCACUUGUUAAGCGGAAUUGAACGCAAGACGAGGUCGAUAAGACAGACAGAUGAUUAUCGAAGGUGUAAUACCUGGUUACACUGGAACAAAACAUGGCUUAUAGAA
rnacentral:RNase_P_RNA from 2 species